rnacentral:rRNA from 1 species
AGACGAACCGUCCAAACGUUAUUCGGUAUCACUGGGCUUAAAGCGUGCGUAGGCGGCUUGGUAGGUGAGAUGUGAAAGCCCACGGCUCAACCGUGGAAUUGCGUUUCAAACCCCCAAGCUCGAGGAAGAUAGGGGUGAUGGGAACUUAUGGUGGAGCGGUGAAAUGCGUUGAUAUCAUAGGGAACACCGGUGGCGAAAGCGCAUCACUGGAUCUUUUCUGACGCUGAGGCACGAAAGCUAGGGUAGCGAACGGGAUUAGAUACCCCGGUAGUCCUAGCCGUAAACGAUGAACACUGGGUUGAGGGGACUUCCACAUCCUCUCGGCCGUAGCGAAAGCGUUAAGUGUUCCGCCUGGGGAGUAUGGUCGCAAGGCUGAAACUCAAAGGAAUUGACGGGGGCUCACACAAGCGGUGGAGGAUGUGGCUUAAUUCGAGGCUACGCGAAGAACCUUAUCCUAGAUUUGACAUGCUUGAGAAUCCCUAUGAAAGUAGAGAGUGCCCUUCGGGGAGCUCUU